GGAAGUGUGCCCGAUAAUAGGAAACUCCUUGAUAGGGAGAACCAUGUGGGUUUGACCCCCUCCACUUCC
rnacentral:tRNA from 1 species